AGCAGCGCCGCGGGAAUACGGAGGGUGCAAGCGUUACUCGGAAUCAUUGGGCGUAAAGGACGCGUAGGCGGAUUAUCAAGUCUCUUGUGAAAUCUAACGGCUUAACCGUUAAACUGCUUGGGAAACUGAUAAUCUAGAGUAAGGGAGAGGCAGAUGGAAUUCUUGGUGUAGGGGUGAAAUCCGUAGAUAUCAAGAAGAAUACCUAUUGCGAAGGCGAUCUGCUGGAACUUAACUGACGCUAAUGCGUGAAAGCGUGGGGAGCAAACAGGAUUAGAGACCCCAGUAGUCCCUGUCUCUUAUACC
rnacentral:rRNA from 1 species